GUGUUGUAACCUUCACACACAGGCUGAGAGGGUUAGCUCUGGGGUUCAAAGUAAAUCAUUCACCAGGCCAAACUGUCACUGGAGCAAACUUAAAGUUCUUUAUUUGUCAUAAAGCAGGGUUCAGGGUAAAGGGGAGAAAACUUGAACAUAGGUACUUCUUCUCUCUCAGGUUGCUCCUUCCUGCAUCAAUUUUAUUUCUGAAAAAAGAGGCAGGAGAGGUGUAGGAUUAGUUAAGGGGAUUCGCUGUACUAACGCCGUCAAUUAAGCCUCUAUCUUCAAGAGGGUAGUUGGGCUGGCUGGGCUUGAAUGCAUCCAACACUGAGUCUGUCCUCUUCCCCUUCGUCUCCCUCUACUGUGGCUUCUUUGUUCCCUUUUAUGUGAUUACUAAUUGCCCAACAGCCUGCAGCUGAGGCUGCCUGCCAGAGGGGAAUGCUGCACACCUGUGUUAGAGCUGUCCUUGGUCCUGAACACCACUGUUUCACCCAGACCUUGUGUCCUCUGAUGGUGCUAUCCAUGGUGCUGCAGGUGACUGUGCUGCGUUGUGAUGGACUGUUUCUUUCUGGCCACCACAGUGUAUAAAAUAUGUAUUUACUUAUUUAAAAGAGUAUCAGAACCCCUGAUUAAAAUGCAUUGAUAUACUUGAAAAGCAAACCCCCUUUUUACAAGAUUUGGCACUUUAAGCAAAUUUUAAUCAUAUAUUACACUUUCAUAUUUAAAUUCAAGUCCUAUUCCAUUAAAUACUACAGCUGUUGUCACAGUCUGUUUUUGAGAGUAACAAACCCCCACAUAGGACGGGGAUGUGAACCUGGAUCUCUUAGAACACUUUAAAGCAUCAACUGUACCACAAAGACAAUUUAUGGGACUGUAAAGUUCCCACAAAAAACUUUGACAUUGUCAAAUAAAAAAUAAUGUAUUUUAAUUAAGAAUCAGUUGACAAGAAAUUCUUUUAAUUUGGAAAGUAGUCAUUACUAAAAUAGAAUAUAAUAAAAGCAUAAUAUACACUUGUUAAAAUGAGUGUGAUAUUAGCUUUUGGUCAUAUCACACAGUGUACUCCCCUCAAUGUAAAAUACUUGCUAUAGGAACUUGAGGUUAAAGGGGUCCUGCAAUGUUGUCACUGGGUUUUCUGAAGUUGAAUAGCCUGAAAUCAGUGGUUAAGCCCUGCUUGAGAAUGUCUGCAGAAAAAGUAUAGAUCUCUCUCCUUUUUAUUGCCAUUUUUAACCCUCCUUUAGUACGGAUGAGUGAAUGCAUGGUUGAUGCCUCACCGCAGGUGGGAACAAAUCGAGCUGAAGCUCGUUAAGGAGAGUAUCGUGACGAUGGUGAUCUAACCUUCUGCCAUCUCUCAAAGGAUCUUCAGAGGAGGCCGGCAGCUGCAGUUGUCUCUGUCCCUGUGCUGAUCGAGUGUGCAUACUCAGCCAUACUGAAUAAUGCACGGCACCUGCCUGGGCUGAAGGAGGCCUGCUGUGUGCUGAAGAAAGAAAAAUACAGAUCGCUAAUUGACUUUGGUUCCUCAUGCUAUGCUAAUGAAUAUUCCAUGAGGCAGGGAUGAGGCACAAUGCGUGCCGUCCUGUGAGGAGCCACUGCCAUACUUGGAACAAAACUGGCCACUGCCACAUACAUCAUGAUCUGGCCAGACUUGUAUCCAACAGAGGACAGAAGGAAGGGAAAUUCCUUUUCAACUCUGCUACAGAUUUCUAUCAUGUUUUAACAGGACAACUAGGACUACCAGUUACUGUACAUGAAGAUGAAAAGAAACAUCAAGAUUGCAAAUGUGUAGCACCGUUUUUGUAUUGUGCUUACGGAUCGAAAAACUGCCAGUAAGAGCUGUUUUGCUUUUCCAGGGAAUGAAAGUGUGGCAUAUAUUGUGGGUAUGGAGAGCAGAAGGGGUCUUUACCUCCUCCUCUUCUCACCAGUUCCUCUCUGCAGGGUGCUUUCCUACAACUAUGACACUUGAACUGUGCCAGCUAAUAGACCAGGGUGAAUAAUCAAUAUCUGAACUACAACAUUCUCAAAAUGCUGGAUUUUGAAAUGGUGCUAAAGUUUACAUAGCUGCAACAUACUUAGAGUAUAGAGUUUGUCAAGUCAAGUAGAGUCACCUUUAUUUAUAUAGCACCCAAGAGCAGCAUGUACCGUGUGAAAAGUAAAAGUCCUAGUACUGAGCCCUGCAGUUCUCCAUACACUUGUAAAUGAUAUGACACAAUUUUCAUUUACUGCUACAAAUUGAUAAGAUUGAAGACAUAGUCUAACAGUGCAAAUAUAUCUAUGACUGCUCUAUUUAGGGACUCUCUACAGGUGUAUCUUUUCAAUUCUUGCUCCAUUCAGUUCAUUAUGCAAAAGUUUAACAUGAUAAUGUAAUUCUCCUAAUUUCUCUAUUACAUAAGAAUGGAUUUGAUGCCUUAUGUUGCUUGUGUUCUUGUUUUCUACAAACUUCAGCAUGCAUACAGUAAUGCCUUCAUUUGCAUGUUUUCAUUUUGCUAGACAUUUUUAGAGAGAGGGAAACAAGAUGCUUGCAGGCUGAUUACUUCUCCUCUGUGACUUUUAGUUAAACAUCAGCCCACAUCCAAUUCUCUUUGCUAUGUCAUGUUUUUCUCUCCUGUCAUCUCAGUCUCUAAGUUCCUUUCUCAUAGCACUGUACUCCCUGCUCCCUCCCUUUGCAUCUCUUUUUAAUAAACACCCACUGAACUUCACGUCUUAAUUUGAGAUAUAAUUUAAAAUAUUAAUUCUGCUUGCGAUGUGAAAGGGCUUUCUCAGAACUGAUAGUAUAGCCUGUGAUCAAGGUGCACUACACUCACAUUCCAUAUGGAAUGCAAAUUUUAUAUUUUAUUUUAUUUUUUAUUUUAUUUUAGGGCCUUGUGGCCUUUAUUUCACAUAGAAAUGGACAAGGAUAUGAUGGGAUUGAGCUAAAAUUGAAUUAUUUGGCCUCAACACCAAACGAUACGUCUGACGGAAAUCCAAUACAGCUCAACAUCCAAAUAACACCAUUCCUGUAGUAAAGCAUGGAGGUGGUAAUAUCCGGUUAUAGGGUGUUUCUCUGCAGCAGGGACUAGAGCACUUGUCAUGAUAGAAGGAAACAUGGAUAGGGCAAAAUACCGUCAAAUUCUUGAGAAAAAUCUGCUGCCCUCUGCCAGAAAGUUUUCAAUGGGAAGAAGGUUUACUUCUAACAUGACAGUGACCCACAACACACACUAAAACUGAGCACACAGUGGUUAAAGGAGAAAAAGGUGAAUGUCCUUGCAUGGCCUAGUCAGAGCACAGACGUAAACCCCAUUGAAAAUCUGUGGAAAGACUUGAAGACUGCAGUCCAAAAAUGGUCACCAUCAAAUUUAACUGAACUUUUAACUGAAUAGUGGGCAAAUAUUGCAAAGACUAGAUGUCCAAAGUUUAAUCCCAACAGAAUAAAGGCUGUAAUUAAAGCAAAAGGUGGUUUAACUAAAUACUGACACAAGGGGGUGAACUCAAUUUAUUUAUUUUUUUCUGACGUUGGUGUUCUUUCACUUUGAUGUUAUAAGUUGCACUGAGUAAAUGCAGUUGGAUAAAACAAAAACUGUAUCCGUGUUCAUUUCAGGCUGCAAAGCAGCAAAAUUUGAUUAUUUUAAAGAGGGGUAAUACUUUUCUAUACCCACUGUACCAACUUUAACCCUAAUAAACUAAUGUAAUAUAAAUGUAAGCAAAAACUUUCUCUGUAUGGGGGAAAAAAAUAGGAUGUAGCAGCCAAUCAGUUAGGCUUGGCAUCUUACUGUUGUGGGUGAGCUUUUGUAAUCUGUUGAGUGAAGCUUAAUAAAAUGCGUGAGGGGAGAGGGGUGCUAAAGCCGGGCCUGUUGUUGAUGGUUUUGUAUAUCCCUCUAAAGCCACUCAAGCAGGGAUGAGGGUGGGCUUACUUUCAAUAUUUAUGAAAUUGGCUCUGUGUGAAAUUGGUUUUUGCCUAAUGGAUCCUUGCAUGACUGCACUCCUUAAAAGACACUGGAGUCACAAGAAAGAAGAGAUGAAGAGAGCAACAGAGAUGAAGAGAGCGAUAAUAUGAGUUAAGAAACGGCGAAACCCUCGAACCCAGGCCUACUAUAAAUAUUAAUAUAUUACAAGAGAGAUCAACUAAUAGGUUGGCGCACAAUUCAAGGAAUUGUUCAAUGAAAGAAUACUGACACUUAACAUGAACCCGCAGUUAUCUCUCGCAACUAUCCUAUUUGCAGAUUUGUGAGCUUUCAAAAUUUCGCCAUGACUUUAUGACUGCGCCAUUUGCUUCAAAUGGCAAAUCUGUAAGUCGCACGAUGAAGUCACCCAGAACGCCGAACGCAAUUUACACCGGUUUCAAGAGGAAGCCAUUUCACUGCACAGAGGGAAGCAGAGGCUUUCCAGAGAGCUUUUUACGCAGGUUUUAUCGUCUGGGACCCAACCAGCCAGCUAAUGAGGAUGACCGUGAGCUUGCUCACUGUAACGGUGAUAUGGAUGCCAGGGAAAAUAAAAUGUAAAGCUGCCCGGACAGAAUGGCAUGCACUAUAAUACCGUGGUACAUUAAGCAAUAAUUGGAAGGACCUUCUGAUUAUGAAGUCAACCCAUUUGGCUGGAGUGCCACAUCUCCCCUCUUUCACAGAUGGUUAGCUUAGAUUAAGUGGGGGAAAAUCAAAUGUACAGGCCCUAUCUCUUUGGGGGAGUUCUGGAGCGUCUUACUUGGCGGCCUUGGUAAUUUACGAGGAGGACGGGGCUCCGUGGAUCCCUCUGUUUCGACAUAUGUCUGCCAGUGACAUUUACCAGACUAUCUGGAUUAAUUAGUUUUCAUGGUCCAUACGCUCGGGGUAUGUUUGGAAAGAAUUCCCACAACCGUUUCAGCUUCCAAUUGCACCAAAGCAUCGACCUGUCCCAUGAGACUUUUAUAGCCAUUUAUAUAUGAAGUGUGAACCCAAGAGGUCUAUGGAGGACAUCUAACCAUUACCAUUUAUCUCAGUGGUAGUCUGCAGGAAGAAUGUGAUUUGAAAAUUAACAUUUUCUUAUCUACUAAGUUUGAAAGUUUUGGGUCCAAGAAGUCGCUUAUACUUAGCAAGGCUGCAUUUAUUUAAUCAGACAUAUAGUAAAAACAGUAAUAUUAUUACAAUUUCAAAUAACUCUUUUCUAUUUUAAUAAAUGUUUAAAUAUAAUUU